GCAUAACCCAAAAAGACAAUUUGUAUCACAGCUACUGGAUGGCCACAAAUAGACACAUUCAGCAGAAACAUCUCUCAACAGAUCUUAAAGCUGGAAAUCAUGCAUUGGUGAAGGAACGGUUUUUUCAUCUGGGCUGCGGGAUGUCAGUGCCUGUCAGUACUCACAUCAUAGGCUGCACACUGCAUCAGAUUGGUCUGCAUGGCUGUCAUCUAAAGAUGACGCACAAGAAAACCUGCAAACAGUUUGUUGAAGACAAGAAGACUAAAGACAUGGAUUACUGGAACCAUAUCCUGUAGUCCAAUGAGACCAAGAUAUGUGAAUGCGGAGAGCUACGCCAGAUUCGGUGGACUGUGACAAUGACCAGCAUUUUUUAAAUUUCAAUAAAAUGG